GCAGACACAUUUCAGCCAAUCAGCAGCAGACCCUCCCUCCCAGACCCUCCCACCUCCUGGACAGCAUCCAUUUUACAUUCAUUGUGAAGCUGCAUUCUUAGUGAGCUGUCCAGGAGUUGGGAGGGUCUGGGAGGGAGGGUCUGCUGCUGAUUGGCUGGAAUGUGUCU